rnacentral:rRNA from 1 species
UACGGAGGGUGCAAGCGUUAUCCGGAUUCACUGGGUUUAAAGGGUGUGUAGGCGGGUAUUUAAGUCAGUGGUGAAAUCUCCGGGCUCAACCCGGAAACUGCCAUUGAUACUAUUUAUCUUGAAUAUUGUUGAGGUAGGCGGAAUACAUCAUGUAGCGGUGAAAUGCUUAGAUAUCGUCAAGAACACCAAUAGUGAAGACAGCUUACUGGGCUUAAACUGACGCUGAGGCACGAAAGUGUGGGGAUCAAACAGG